UCAGAGUCAAAUGGCUCUUGACUGUAAAGUUAAAUUUAUUGUGACUCUAUCUUAAACCGUUCAUUCAAUCUUGGGAUAUGCACUGAAAAUCCACUGUGAAAGUCUGGUGCUAAUUAUUGUUUUUAUUAUGUAUCAUUAUGUUGCAGUCAAUUGCCAAAUAAUAAUUCGAGUCAUUUUUUUGGUAGGUAUUGCAACUUGUUUGUUUAUAUAGGCAGGACAAGAUACAUGUUGCUCACUCUGAUCAAAUUUCUUGUUGAUUUAAUGCAUUUAUGUAAUGUAUAUGAGACGUUUUGACAUUUUAUGAAAAACGUUUAUUUCAGCUACAAAUGGUGUUGUGCUGGCUGCUGAAAAGAAACAAAAAUCAGUUCUUUAUGAUGAUUCCACCAUUCACAAGGUUGAAAUGAUCACGAAAAAUGCUGGUUUAGUAUAUAGUGGAAUGGGUCCAGACUGCAGGUUAUUGGUGCGACGUGCAAGAAAAAUUGCCCAACAAUAUUUCUUAGUUUAUCGUGAACCAAUUCCAACGUCACAACUGGUUCAUAGAAUUGCUUCAGUGAUGCAGCAAAACCCAAUGUCAAUUAUUACUCAUGAUAAUAAUAACUAUAUGUCUCCUUUUUUUC